UCUAUAGUUUCCUUAUUUAACUCAUUUUCAUUUGUUAAUCAAUCUGUCAAUGACUUAUUUUACACACACAGUCCUUAUUUGUCAUAUCAACUAGAGCAAACUUAUGAUUGGUUAGAGGGAGUUAAGUCCCACCCUCUGUUUACGCAGAAGUCAGUGAGUUGCAGUGCGGGUAAAACAGCAGCGGUCGGAGUGGAUGAGAAAUAGAGAGUUAGAAGAGCGAUUAUUAACAUAUCCAUGAGAUAAAAUAGUCUUGUGAAGACGUCAGAGGUGUGCGAGGGUCCGUGAGCCAGGAGUAGUAGUACUUUUGGCAUUAUCGUCUUGGCUGGGUUUUUUUGAGAACAAGAGAACUGGAUCUGGAUUCUCCCUGUGGAUGGGAGAUGGCGAGCCCCCAGUGAGAUCCCUUCUUAACCUAAGGAGUGAGGAACCGAGACCUGAGAAGAGGACCUGGUAUCUUUUUUUGCUUCCACUCAAGUAUCAGUGUGGUAGGACCACCACACAUCCGACUACUUGAAUUUUUCCCCCUGACUUGACAUAAAACAUUGACUUGAGCGCACUGACUGAUAUGGCAAAGACAUUAACGGGACAUUGCACUCUAAAUUCUGCUGAAAGACUGUGAAAUCUUGAGAUAUUGAUGAUAAUUGCACUGCAUUUUAUGUUCAUGUUUUAUAACUUGGUACAGUAAACUUACCUCAAAUGUUCCUCGUGGCUCCAUUUACCUGUUUUGUCUGCCAUUCCCUUUUCAACCCUCCCAUUACGAACCUAGCCCCUGGUCCAUAUAUUCUUUAUUCUUUACCCUGUAGCACCUAGUGGGUUACAUACUCAAUAACAGGUGGUGUGCCAUUGACAAGUUAAAGAGUGAUGUGGCGAAAAUCUCAAUCAAGUGUGCCCUGCGCAGUGCGUCGGGACGUGCCCAGCGCACUUUAGUGGAUUGAUGGAAAUCUGGCCGGGCGCACCUGAACCGCAACUGGACAACUGGACAACCUGUGGAGAAAAAAAGAAGCGGAUGAAAGAAGGAAAUAGCAAAUAUUCAGGCUCUGAAACUCCCAUGGAGCCAGAGCCUCCCGUACCAGCAGCGAUUAAACAGAGUUGGCCAGGUCUGCGCGCUGGUAGGGCCCCCAGGUGUCACCGACAGAUUAAACUCAGCGGCUUCACCUGGAGGUAACGAGAAGCAUCGAGGAGACUCCUCGUUAACAGCCAGAUGACUGGAGGAGUUCCUGUUCACAACCUAAGGUCUGAGCCUUGAUGGCGUUAUGGAUGACGUCAAAUGACCACUGCUGUCAACUGAGAACUGAUGACACAUCAAUAUGGACAUCCUUUGUGUUUGUUUUAUUGAAUGUUUGUGGUGACGUCAUCUAUCAUGCCAGGGCUAUGUGACACCACAGAGGAUGUCCAUAAUGAUGUCCCAUCAGUUCUCAGUUGACAGCAGUGCUUAUUUGACGUCAUGAAUGACAGCUUGAAGGCUUUGACCCGAGUUUGUAAAUAGGACCCCCUUCUGCCAUCAAUCUCCAAUCCACACACCCUCACAGGAGACGUGGAGGCUCUGAUGCACUGCAGCACCAUGGCAGCCCACGCCUGGGCCCACGUCUGCAGCUGAGGGGAGUCCUCGAUAGCCACCAGGUGUCAUGCAUGGCUGAGCUCAAGCUGGCGGUGCACCGCUGAACUCAAGCUGGCGGUGCAUGACGCUUUGGGGCCCUGCCAGUGCAUAGACCUGGCCCAGUCUGUCGUGCUGGUAUGGGAGGCCCUGGGUGC